GACCUUGGGAGGGUUGAUUAAUUGACGAGUUGGCAGUGCAACCAUUCCUUCAAAGAUCCCAAGAUAUAUCUGCUAAAACAAAAGUGCCCCCGUACACUGUAUGGGCCUGUGUUUGCAGUGGCUCUAAAAAUUUAUCUGCAACUUCUCCCCUGUGUGACUAAUGCCUGCCGCCUUCUACUCAGUGGCUGUUUCGACCCAUCACCCUUCCUCUCUGAGGCAAAGAACUCUUCAGCAAGGAGGUAUUUUUGGAAACUCAAGAGGGUGUUUUUGCAAUUUGGCAAUAAGAAGCAACAUUCUCCACUGGGCCCAAGUCACCGUUGAUAUCAAAGGAGCCAGAUUUUUGAAAAAUAUCUCUGCCUUGACUUUUCAGGGAUUCAGCAAUAAGCAAUUAUAUCUGGAAGCACCAACAUCUAGAUUCUGCUUAUCAGAAAAGUGAAUUGAAGGGAAACUGGAAAACACAGGGAAGUCAGAAACCCAAGAAACAAGAGAAUUCAAACAAAGGACAGCUUUAAAAAUUGUCCAAAGACAAAGAGAGUGACUUCUGCAACAUUUGUCCAUCUGAGCGCAAUGAUGGGUCUGGGCAUGUGUAUUUGAGAGAAGAGUCUGGAAAAAAAGCUGUGUAAUAGAAGGAGGAGAAUUGGGAGUUCCCAUGGCAAGGCUGAAGCAAAGAGGUGAGUGGCCACGGAGAGGAAAUCGAGGAAGGGGUUGAGAUUCGUUUCACACCAGGCAGCAGGCAGACACCGCCUGAGAGAUAUGGAAUCUGAAGGUGAGCUCAAGAAUCUAAGGUCACCUAGGAAUUCACAGAAUCUUUGGCAACUUUUGACUUGCACAGGCUCUAGCAAUGCAGGAAGUGGGAUCCAAUUUCUUUAGCAUCUUGAGAGGUAGGAAACUCAAAGAACUAUCAGUAUAUGGGAAAGUGCAGAAAUGGGUUUCUUUCAUUUUUUAAUUUUAAUUUUAAUUUUUUAUUAUUAUUAAAGUAUAGUUGAUGUAUAAUGUUUCAUCAAGUUCUGUUGUACAACAAAGUGACCCAAUCACACACAGUUCCCUGUGCCGUACAGUUGGAUCCCAUUGCCCAUCCAUUCUAGAUACAACAGUUUGCAUCCCCCAAACCCCCAAAAUGCGCGUCCCUCCCACUCCCUCCCCCUCAACCUCAAAUCUGCAUUUCUUGGCCACGCCCUGUUUCUGUUUUUUUGUUUGUUAUUUUUAGAUAGGAUGAUCUGUUCCAUAUUUUAGAUUCCACAAAUAAGUGAUAUCGUAUAGUAUU
rnacentral:lncRNA from 1 species